rnacentral:rRNA from 1 species
GCGAGCGUUGUCCGGAAUUACUGGGCGUAAAGAGCUCGUAGGUGGUUUGUCGCGUUGUUCGUGAAAUCUCACGGCUUAACUGUGAGCGUGCGGGCGAUACGGGCAGACUUGAGUACUGCAGGGGAGACUGGAAUUCCUGGUGUAGCGGUGGAAUGCGCAGAUAUCAGGAGGAACACCGGUGGCGAAGGCGGGUCUCUGGGCAGUAACUGACGCUGAGGAGCGAAAGCGUGGGGAGCGAACAGGAUUAGAUACCCUGGUAGUCCACGCCGUAAACGGUGGGUACUAGGUGUGGGUUUCCUUCCUUGGGAUCCGUGCCGUAGCUAACGCAUUAAGUACCCCGCCUGGGGAGUACGGCCGCAAGGCUAAAACUCAAAGAAAUUGACGGGGGCCCGCACAAGCGGCGGAGCAUGUGGAUUAAUUCGAUGCAACGCGAAGAACCUUACCUGGGUUUGACAUGCACAGGACGCCGGCAGAGAUGUCGGUUCCCUUGUGGCCUGUGUGCAGGUGGUGCAUGGCUGUCGUCAGCUCGUGUCGUGAGAUGUUGGGUUAAGUCCCGCAACGAGCGCAACCCUUGUCUCAUGUUGCCAGCGGGUAAUGCCGGGGACUCGUGAGAGACUGCCGGGGUCAACUCGGAGGAAGGUGGGGAUGACGUCAAGUCAUCAUGCCCCUUAUGUCCAGGGCUUCACACAUGCUACAAUGGCCGGUACAAAGGGCUGCGAUGCCGCGAGGUUAAGCGAAUCCUUUUAAAGCCGGUCUCAGUUCGGAUCGGGGUCUGCAACUCGACCCCGUGAAGUCGGAGUCGCUAGUAAUCGC